UACGAAGGGGGCUAGCGUUGCCCGGAAUCACUGGGCGUAAAGGGCGCGUAGGCGGCCAUUCAAGUCAGGGGUGAAAGCCUGUGGCUCAACCACAGAAUUGCCUUUGAUACUGUUUGGCUAGAGACCGGAAGAGGUAAGUGGAACUGCGAGUGUAGAGGUGAAAUUCGUAGAUAUUCGCAAGAACACCAGUGGCGAAGGCGGCUUACUGGUCCGGUUCUGACGCUGAGGCGCGAAAGCGUGGGGAGCAAACAGG
rnacentral:rRNA from 1 species